rnacentral:rRNA from 1 species
GUACACGCUGUGACUAGCAUAUCAAUAAGCGGAGGAAAAGAAACUAACAAGGAUUCCCCUAGUAACGGCGAGUGAAGCGGGAAGAGCUCAAAUUUGAAAUCUUAAAGGGUUUCCCUUUACGAAUUGUAGUUUAAAGAAGUGUUUUCUGUUGAGGUUUUGGUAAAAGUUCUUUGGAAUAGGACAUCAUAGAGGGUGAGAAUCCCGUAUUUGACCUUUACUUUCAACUUUGUGAUACACUUUCAAAGAGUCGGAUUGUUUGGGAGUGCAGUCCAAAAUGGGUGGUAAAUUUCAUCUAAGGCUAAAUAUUGGCGAGAGACCGAUAGCGAACAAGUACCGUGAGGGAAAGAUGAAAAGAACUUUGAAAAGAGAGUUAAACAGUACGUGAAAUUGUCAAAAGGGAAGCGUUUGACACCAGUGUUGUUUUUCUGAAAAUCAAUUAAAGAACUGUUUAUGCUAAGCUGUUUAGACUUUAUCAGCUAACUGUUUAGUUUUGAGCUUUUCUUUAAUGCACUUUUCAGUUAACAAGUCAACAUCAAUUUCUUUUGCUGUAAAAAAGCUUGAGGAAGGUGGCUUGAGAUUCGUCUUAAGUGUUUAUAGCCUCUUGCCUAUGCAGUCGGAGAGAUUGAGGUCUGCAGCGUAGAUCCUUCGGGGCUAAAUGCAUUUGUGCUAAGGUUAUAGCAUUUUAUAGACAACUUGUUGACUAUGAUUUGUCUUGUAGCUUACUCGCUUAUGUUAUUUUACCUACGCUUAGGAUGUUGAGUCGUAGAGCACGCAG